CGGUUGAUCCUGCCGGAGGGCCACUGCUAUGGGGGUCCGACUAAGCCAUGCGAGUCAUGGGGCGCGCUCUGCGCGCACCGGCGGACGGCUCAGUAACACGUCGGUAACCUACCCUCGGGAGGGGGAUAACCCCGGGAAACUGGGGCUAAUCCCCCAUAGGCCUGAGGUACUGGAAGGUCCUCAGGCCGAAAGGGGCAUCUGCCCGCCCGAGGAUGGGCCGGCGGCCGAUUAGGUAGUUGGUGGGGUAACGGCCCACCAAGCCGAAGAUCGGUACGGGCCAUGAGAGUGGGAGCCCGGAGAUGGACACUGAGACACGGGUCCAGGCCCUACGGGGCGCAGCAGGCGCGAAACCUCCGCAAUGCGGGCAACCGCGACGGGGGGACCCCCAGUGCCGUGGCAUCGCCACGGCUUUUCCGGAGUGUAAAAAGCUCCGGGAAUAAGGGCUGGGCAAGGCCGGUGGCAGCCGCCGCGGUAAUACCGGCGGCCCAAGUGGUGGCCGCUAUUAUUGGGCCUAAAGCGUCCGUAGCCGGGCCCGUAAGUCCCUGGCGAAAUCCCACGGCUCAACCGUGGGGCUUGCUGGGGAUACUGCGGGCCUUGGGACCGGGAGAGGCCGGGGGUACCCCUGGGGUAGGGGUGAAAUCCUGUAAUCCCAGGGGGACCGCCAGUGGCGAAGGCGCCCGGCUGGAACGGGUCCGACGGUGAGGGACGAAGGCCAGGGGAGCGAACCGGAUUAGAUACCCGGGUAGUCCUGGCUGUAAAGGAUGCGGGCUAGGUGUCGGGCGAGCUUCGAGCUCGCCCGGUGCCGAAGGGAAGCCGUUAAGCCCGCCGCCUGGGGAGUACGGCCGCAAGGCUGAAACUUAAAGGAAUUGGCGGGGGAGCACA
rnacentral:rRNA from 1 species